AUACGGAGGGUGCAGGCGUUACUCGGAAUCACUGGGCGUAAAGCGCGCGCAGGCGGCUAUUUAAGUUGGAUGUGAAAGCCUACGGCUCAACCGUAGAACUGCAUCCAAAACUAUUUAGCUAGAGUGUGGGAGAGGAAGAUGGAAUUAGUUGUGUAGGGGUAAAAUCCGUAGAGAUAACUAGGAAUACCAAAAGCGAAGGCAAUCUUCUGGAACACUACUGACGCUGAGGCGCGAAAGCGUGGGGAGCAAACGGGAUUAGAAACCCUAGUAGUCC
rnacentral:rRNA from 1 species